GACGAACGCUGGCGGCGUGCUUAACACAUGCAAGUCGAACGGAAAGGCCCUGCUUUUGUGGGGUGCUCGAGUGGCGAACGGGUGAGUAACACGUGAGUAACCUGCCCUUGACUUUGGGAUAACUUCAGGAAACUGGGGCUAAUACCGGAUAGGAGCUCCUGCUGCAUGGUGGGGGUUGGAAAGUUUCGGCGGUUGGGGAUGGACUCGCGGCUUAUCAGCUUGUUGGUGGGGUAGUGGCUUACCAAGGCUUUGACGGGUAGCCGGCCUGAGAGGGUGACCGGCCACAUUGGGACUGAGAUACGGCCCAGAAUCCUACGGGAGGCAACAGUGGAGAAUAUUACACAAUGGGCGGAAGCCUGAUGCAGCAACGCCGCGUGCGGGAUGACGGCCUUCGGGUUGUGAACCGCUUUCGCCUGUGACGAAGCGUGAGUGACGGUAAUGGGUAAAGAAGCACCGGCUAACUACGUG
rnacentral:rRNA from 1 species